GCCGGGCGCGAUGGCUCGCGCUUGUAAUCCCAGCACUUUGGGAGGCCGAGGCAGGCGGAUCACCUGAGGUCAGGAGUUCAAGACCAGCCUGGCCAACAUGGUGAAACCCCGUCUCUA
rnacentral:SRP_RNA from 1 species